CGGACAAAUUUGGGCUUGUAUCCUUUAGUGAGUCUGAUCAACGUGCAAAUAGUCCAUCUUUCCCUGGAAUUCUCAAGCAACAACUAUAACAAAAGGCAAGCCGGUCCUAACAUCGAAAGGCAGAAGGUAGUUGUUGAAGAAGGGCAGAAGCUAAGGGGCAGGGAGGAAGAUCCAGGGACCUGACAUCUUGGUCCCAGAAGACAUCAGCCUCUGGAGAACUGCAUCAUUAUCUCAGGUUGUUCACAGCAGCCCUUGAACCACAGCCUGUGUGGAUGAAUGUUCUGGAACAGUGAGAACACGCCUUCCUUCCCAACCCACUCUGCUUGGAGGCCUGCACCUCGCCAGGCUUCCUCCCCACCACCAGGAGCAGUUAGGGUCAGUUGGGUCUGCAGACUUGCCUUCCUUCCUUGGAUUCUUUCUAGCUCCGAGAGUCACCGCA